CUACGGGAGGCAGCAGUGGGGAAUCUUGCGCAAUGGACGAAAGUCUGACGCAGCGACGCCGCGUGGGUGAUGAAGGCCUUCGGGUUGUAAAGCCCUGUGGGGAGAGAAGAAUAAGUGCGGGCUAAUACCCCGCAUGAUGACGGUAUCUCCUUAGCAAGCACCGGCUAACUCUGUGCCAGCAGCCGCGGUAAGACAGAGGGUGCAAACGUUGUUCGGAAUUACUGGGCGUAAAGCGCAUGUAGGUGGCUUGGCAAGUCGGAUGUGAAAUCCCACGGCUCAACCGUGGAAGUGCAUUCGAAACUGCCUCGCUAGAGUCCCGGAGAGGAAAGUGGAAUUGGUGGUGUAGAGGUGAAAUUCGUAGAUAUCACUAGGAACACCGGCGGCGAAAGCGGCUUUCUGGACGAGGACUGACACUGAGAUGCGAAAGCGUGGGGAGCAAACAGGAUUAGAAACCCUAGUAGUCC
rnacentral:rRNA from 1 species